AUUGUAUCAGAGGUGGGAGAAUGGUUUCCGCAGGGACAUCUGCUUGGAAAGCGUGACGCCUCCAGCGGGAUGGUCCCAGUUUGGUUCCCACCCAGACAGGCUCUGAGGGCUGAGACUGGAGGGGAAAAAGCUGUGGCAAAAGAGAAGAAAAGCGAAAAAGGCUGCGAUAACCGAACGGGGGUGGAAGAGCUCUGCGCCCUAACAAUCCCUCGCCCUUGCCAAGGAUGUUCAGAGCCCAGCCUGUGCCGCUGAAAUUCGGGGCUUGUGAUCCCAGUGCCCCCAUUUCACACAACCUUCUUUGUCAGGUGGCUUUUCUGUUGGAACCCUGUUGACUGGGCCUUCCGUCCAGGAUGGGGCCUGUUCCCCUUCCUCAUUGCCUGUCCCUCCACCAUUAGCGUGUCUUGAUUUGCUGUUGAUGUGGCCUUGGGGACACCAUGACAAAAUCUUUGCUGGAAGGUUUCUCGGCCCUCCCCUCUCCCCCUCGCCCUCUCCCUUGCCUGCUCCCCUUUAUCAUACUUGUUUCAGAUCUUAGGUCUUGAGGGCACUUUCGGCGCAAAAUAAGUGCUUUAUGUAGGAAGGCAGGGCAGGGUGACUUUACAGGAGGAAAGAAAAAUGACUUAAAGAGAGCCCGGAGUAUUUUGGGGGGGGGGGAAAUAUUUUUAUUUUAAAAUCCUAAAAUAGCCAUCAGACAGAGAGCUUUGUGUGGUUUCAUAUUUUAAAAUAUUCUAGGGAGCCGUUCCCUUUGCGGGAGGAGGGGGGCGACGGGCAGACCCGUGGACCAGCGGGAUUUCCUCGGCGGAGGGAGAAGUCCGGCUCUUGGCUGGGGGACAAUGUGGGAUCUCCCCGGGAGCACCCUCUGUAGCUCUGGGCGGGAACUGAGGAAGGGUGCACUGUGACCCCGAGGAGCCUGUCCCAAACCAACCGGUACUGAGGAAGCCAUAGAAGCAGACGGCUCCGCUGUGUGGCCUGUUGGUGGCACCUCCUUCACGGUGGGCCACUGCCCCCGAGCUGCUGGGCGGGCCUGGCAUGGCUGACCCCUGGCGGGCAGGGACAGAAGUGAACGGGAAGGAAGGCCCUUGCACCCGCAAGGUGGACUGAGGGUAGAGUGUCACCCAUCACCUCCGCUGUCUCCAUCUCUUCUUUCUGUGCCAAGAGACUAGAUUUUCUUUUUUUAAUAAUGAACCUUCUUACUGUUUUUAAAUUAAACAGGAGUUUGUGUUUCUACGGGAAUCUCCUUUCAUUGGAUGAGGUGGCCUUGGCACUGUCAGCGCGGACGCUGACCUGGUUUUGAAAGUAGCAGUGGGAGAAGGGCCCUCACUCUCCCAGGGGCAGAGCAGGAGAGCAGCAGGGACGGGAAGGGGGCCUGGCGGGCAGGGCGCCCUGGGCAUGUUCAGCCGCUGCGUCCCAGCUACCAGACGGGAUGCUAUUCAGGGGCGGCGCCGGGCAGGUGAGCGCGUCGGAGAGGCCUGGACUGUGCUGGAUCCAGGACAUCACCAGGCUCCAUGGAUCCGUGACUUCUUUGAGUCUGAGCCAGAGAAGGCCCCAAAGUGCUUUUCCGAGUUGGGUGUUUAAUUCGGGCUGUUGCCAAGCGCGAAGUCUAGGAAGUCGCCGCUCUCAUCUUUGAAGGCAGCCGACACCCGGACCACGUUGAGCGUUUCCGCCCUGAGAAUCAUUAGGUUUGGGGCGCAGUGUGCGGAGGUGCACACACCGCCUGACCCCUCCCCCGACAGGAACCUGCGCUUCUCCGCAGAUCAUCGCUGCCCAGGGCCGCCGGGACACUGGUCCCUGGAAAGUCGGCCCGUGCCCGGCACUGUUUGCCUCCUCACAGCUCUUCAUGUCACGCCUACCUGUUAGUGACCAGACGUGGCCUUGGUCUGAGCAGGCGGCCCAGGCCGAGGCUCCGUGGUUUGCAGGGGCCAGGGGCGGGCCAGGCCCAGGGGAGGCGAGGGCCGCGCACCGCAUCCCUAGAACUGGGGUUCCUUCUGUCCGGGCGAGGUGCACUUUGUCUCACGGAAGGCCUGCUUCGCUCUGGUUAUUUUCCUCUUUUUAAACCUGUUCCACCUUUUUUUCCAAGUCGUGUUGCUUGUCAAACGCAGGCGCGUUCCUCCGCCCCGCCCCGGGGUUUUGGACUCUGGCUUCUGGGUGUGUUUGUCUAUCAGAUGUGCCAGCCCCACCAGCGCCUCCCGACCUGUCCGCCCACCCGCGCCCCACGCUCUGGCCAAGAACCACCUGGCACUUCGCAGCCCAUUUGCUAGGAUAGGAGCAACAGGUCCUGUUCGGGGUCUUGAAUAAAUGGCUCUAUUUGGAUUCGAGA